rnacentral:lncRNA from 1 species
GCCAAAAGUAGCCCAAACCAAUCGCAGAAACCAAAUUGCUGUCCAAACAAAUUUAACUCAAAAUUCAGCCCAUUCACUAUGCUUUCAAAAUUCUAAAUGAAGCCGCCCAAAAAUAUAAAAUACUGCAGCCCAAUCAGUAGCCCAAAAGAAUAAAUCAUCAAUAGUCUAAAUUUUAGCCCAAAAGAAAAAAAGUGCAGUAACAACCUUAGAAUGAAAAUUAAAAAACCCUAAAAUAUAUAGUGAUCCAUAGAUAGCGAAACCAGAUUGUCUAAGGCUUAACGUUUUUAGGAACCAAGGUUGCACCAAACUCGACAAUGUAGUCAUAUCGGUCAGGAUCUGCCUUGAUCGCAAAAGGAGCGGAACAUGAAUUACAGUUGAAUUUGAACCUCCAAAUGGGUAUUAUCUCAAAUAAUGUUUCCCAUCCUGCCUCUUCCUUCACUGCUACAAAUCUGUUGCCCUUUUCCAUGCAAAAACCACAAUGUUCGCAAUACACGUUGAAAGGAAGCAUCAUCUUUACCUUAAACUUCUGCCUUUUCUCCUCCAUUGGCUUCUCUAAAAUCUUCUGAACCUUCGAGUCCGGUAAAGAAAAGCUCUCCGUUGCCAUGACAAAAACCCUAUAUUUCAAUGUGAAUAACACCAGAAGAAAACUAUCGUACUUUCAAGAUUGAUUUUUUCUCUAACUUGAAUCCAAAAAAAAUGCAACAAAGUAAAACAAAAAAAAAUUGGCCGGAAAAUGAUACCUUGCAAGUUUAACCCAAAAUCAAACCCGCUCUGAUACCAUGUAGAAAACAACAAACCAAAGAUGAAGAAUGGAGGAGAAAGAGAGAAAACCGAUUGAUAGCAGCCUCCAAACUUGGUUGCAUAAUGUAAGAUUACAAUGGUUUAUAUAGUGCAAAACUAAGGAAACACAAUAAGACUAAACUACCCUUAACCUAAUUAACUUAUUACUUUAACAAUAACCAUAUUAAAGACAAAUCAGGGCUCAAAAAGACG